rnacentral:rRNA from 1 species
AGAGCGAACGCUGGCGGCAUGCUUAACACAUGCAAGUCGCACGGUUUGGGGCUUCGGCUCCGGGCAGUGGCGGACGGGUGAGUAACGCGUAGGGAUCUAUCCAAGGGUGGGGGACAACCGCGGGAAACUGCGGCUAAUACCGCAUGACGACUUU